UUUUAUCGUUGCCAUGUAAGAUUCAUGUUCCGGUAUAUAAGAGGUUUAUCAUACAAUUCCGAAGACUUAAAAUGUGAACUAGUAUGCUGUCCUGUAACUCACAAUGCAGAGACGUUACUGAAAGCAGAGAAUGACCGAGGCAACUUUCACCUCGAUCACCAAUCAUCACGCAAGUCUAACUACAGACCAAUUUAGUUUUGAUACAGAUUAUAUUGAUGCAUUCAAAACAGUAGCCGCUACUUAAGCUUUACACAUUACAAAGGCUGCCGGCCGGAGAUCGAGCCGACGUUGUUGUACAGUUUCCCUGCACACGCACGGAGGCGUACGUGCAGGCAGGAUAAUGAACCAAUCACUUGAUCAGCUUCUCCCUCUCAUCUCUCUCUGAACUUAGCUCAAGGGCCAUAGAUGUUCCUAGGAACGACGAUGUCGCCGAUGUUGUUGUGCCACGGGUCCGCCAGGUGCGCGCCCAGGUUCUCCAGCGGGCCGGUGCCGGGGUACGCCGACUGCUGCACGCAGAAGCCCACGAACGCCAGCAUCGCCAGCCGCCCUGCAUCAUCAUCAGAGACAAGAUCAUACUACAUCAGCACCGAACGCUACACGCACUGCAGAUGGUUAAGAUUCAGGGGAUGGCACGUACCGUUCUUGAUCUCCUUGAGCUUGAGCUCCUCGAACUUGGCCGGGUCCUUGGAGAAUCCCAGCGGGUCGAAG
rnacentral:lncRNA from 1 species